AGUGAUCAUGACUUUGUUCAAGAACAAGAAGCAAGACUUCUGAUGAUAUGUAAAAGAACUUUAUCCUUAUCUGUUGGCAGGUAAAAACGAAUAGUUGCAAACUUUCCUCAACCUGUAUUCUUGUAACGGUUGUAUUAUUAUAAAUUAUGCUGACAUUUGAUUUACCGAUACGAUAAAGCAUGCAUACUGUUUGUCUAUUUCAUGUGUUUUGUAUAAUUGCACAAAUCUGCAUGGUUUAGUUGCCAAAUCAUUGUUUGCAAUUUCGCCUGAACCUAUAUGGACAAUUUUUAUUUGAUAAAACGAAGGAAAAUAUGACUAGAAAAGCCAGCAUUAGGGCAGCAUGUAUUUACUGGAAAUAUUGAUACAUGCGCAUGCGUAUUGAUGUUAUCGACCGAUAACCGAUCAGCCUUUCCGUCACGUUUUAGAUUAUCGGCUUCUACCAAUAAAGAACCGAUUAUCGGCUUAUUCAUGAAGUUAGCCAUGCAAAUCGCGGCGCAUGUAAUAUCUUCUCUCUUUAGAGGAAUGCUUACCCUGGCUACAUCUCGUCCGACGUUAACUGAACUUGUUCCCAUUCCUCCAUUGGAGAUUACUGGCCGCGCAUUACCCAGGUUAGUUUAUUUCAAUCAUAAACGGAAGUGUCAUAUUUGGUUGAGUCAAAAUCGAAGAAGAAGUGUUCUCAUUUGGAAUGAAGAGAAAUUAUAAUCAGGC